rnacentral:rRNA from 1 species
UACGUAGGGUGCAAGCGUUGUCCGGAAUUAUUGGGCGUAAAGAGCUCGUAGGCGGUCUGUCGCGUCGGCUGUGAAAACUCGGGGCUCAACCCCGAGCUUGCAGUCGAUACGGGCAGGCUAGAGUUCGGCAGGGGAGACUGGAAUUCCUGGUGUAGCGGUGAAAUGCGCAGAUAUCGGGAAGAACACCCGUGGCGAAGGCGGCUCUCUGGAACGCAACUGACGCUGAGACGCGAAAGCGUGGGGAGCAAACAGG